rnacentral:rRNA from 1 species
CUAAUACCGGAUACGACCAAUCUCCGCAUGGGGUGUUGGUGGAAAGCGUUAUGUAGUGGUUAUAGAUGGGCUCACGGCCUAUCAGCUUGUUGGUGAGGUAACGGCUCACCAAGGCGACGACGGGUAGCCGGCCUGAGAGGGUGACCGGCCACACUGGGACUGAGACACGGCCCAGACUCCUACGGGAGGCAGCAGUGGGGAAUCUUCCGCAAUGGGCGAAAGCCU